CUCAAUACAGGGGGAUAACAGUUAGAAAUGACUGCUAAUACCGCAUAAGACCACGGAGCCGCAUGGCUCAGUGGGAAAAACUCCGGUGGUAUGAGAUGGACCCGCGUCUGAUUAGGUAGUUGGUGGGGUAACGGCCUACCAAGCCAACGAUCAGUAGCCGACCUGAGAGGGUGACCGGCCACAUUGGGACUGAGACACGGCCCAAACUCCUACGGGAGGCAGCAGUGGGGAAUAUUGCACAAUGGGGGAAACCCUGAUGCAGCGACGCCGCGUGAGCGAAGAAGUAUUUCGGUAUGUAAAGCUCUAUCAGCAGGGAAGAAAAUGACGGUACCUGACUAAGAAGCACCGGCAAAU
rnacentral:rRNA from 1 species